rnacentral:tRNA from 1 species
GGCGAGGUAGCUCAGGUGGUAGAGCAGCGGACUGAAAAUCCGUGUGUCGGCGGUUCGACUCCGCCCCUCGCCACCA